UGUAGCAAUGGAAUGCUUUCCUUUCUUUUUUCUCAGCCAUCCCUCCCCCUCCUCCAAAGAUGGGCUUGGUCAUUCUCCCAGACCCCACCAGACUGGCAGGCAGGCUGACGUGUUUCCGGUAGUGCUAGGAAUCGUGGCGAAAGCGCCCGACACUGGCCGUUCUUCCCUAAGCUCAGAUCCCUUUAGCUGUGCUGAGAAGGCCGGGACACACAGAAGGAAGAAUGAAAUGCAGUCCUGGUGUCUUCCUAGAAUCCCGGGACCACAAGGCCCAUUGCAUCUGUGCUUCCUCUCCCCUAGUCUUGUGAAGUGGGAGAUGCAAGUAUUUGAUCUUCCCAUUUUGUAGAUGGAGAAACUAAGACUCUGAGAAGGCUUCACAUUUAAAAACUGUUCCUAUUUGUUUUCUUAGAGAAUAACGUUUCAUUCCAUUCCCACACUCUAGUUUCUUCGGUCUUUUCCUGCCACCAAGAGUAUGGUUGUUAAUGCUUUGCCGUAGACAGAACUUUUCCCUUGUGUCUGGCCUCGGAUCAUGACCUGGGGUCUAAAGCUGGAAGGGCCAUCACAGGGGAGUUUUUGCUAAGUGGGGUGGGCUAGGGGAAUAAAAGGAAUUCUUUAGGAUUGGCUUCAGACUAGGUGAGCUCAGCAGAGUCUUGACUCAUUUCGAGAUCCAGGGGCAAUGGGAAGAAGCCAGAGAGACAUUUUAAAGCUAAUGGUUAGUGCAGACCCUGAGAAAGGCUGUCCCAGCAUCCAGUAGGCUCCCCCUUGCCAAAGGUCUUCAAGCAGGAUGACAUGGCUGAUUGAGAGAGAAGACAUUCACAUACAGCUCCAAAUCCCCAUUCGUGAUGAUCUCAUAGGAGUAAAUCUUACUCAUGGCACGGGCCCUCCCAGGGUGAGGAGAACAUUCUGAAGCCAUUUCUGUUGCUGCCCCUGAGUUAGGCUAUUCUACCGUGAGACAUCUGCUAGUCUCUGAAGCAAUCCUUCAGGGUGGCUAGAGCCCUGGGCUAGGAGUCAGGAAGCCUUGAGUUCAAAGCCAGCCUGAGACACUUACUAGCUGUAUGACACCCUAG